rnacentral:sRNA from 1 species
AGGCAAUGGGUUAAUGGAGACUCUAGACGUUUGUUUCCUCACCAGUGAAAAUUAAAUGAAGACCCAGGAAUCACUACAGCUAUAGGGAUGAGAAGGACAUUUCAGCAGCUAGAGUGUGGUGGCCUCCUCAGCAGCUUCUUUGUUUGUCCAUCAAGAAAAUAUUUCUGGACAAAAACAAACUCAUAGUUGGUUGGAAGCAGGGCAUUGGGCCCAGUGUUAAAGAUUUGAAUAAGAAAGAUGCAGAAGACAUUAAUCGUAGGCUUAUCAAUGCCCCUAGGAGAUCUGUCCCCCCAUUGAAGCAACUCUGGCCUUUGGAAGUUCAUAUCCAAGAAGUAUGAUAUCAAUCUUAUUUUAACAUAAAUUAAAAAUGUGA